UCUGGGAUAAGCGCUGGAAACGGCGUCUAAUACCGGAUACGACGACCGGAGGCAUCUCCUGGUCGUGGAAAGAACUUCGGUCAAGGAUCAGCUCACGGCCUAUCAGCUUGUUGGUGAGGUAAUGGCUCACCAAGGCGACGACGGGUAGCCGGCCUGAGAGGGUGACCGGCCACACUGGGACUGAGACACGGCCCAGACUCCUACGGGAGGCAGCAGUGGGGAAUAUUGCACAAUGGGCGCAAGCCUGAUGCAGCAACGCCGCGUGAGGGACGAAUGCCUUCGGGUUGUAAACCUCUUUUAGCAGGGAAGAAGCGAGAGUGACGGUACCUGCAGAAAAAGCACCGGCUAACUACGUGCCAGCAGCCGCGGUAAUACGUAGGGUGCAAGCGUUGUCCGGAAUUAUUGGGCGUAAAGAGCUCGUAGGCGGUUUGUCACGUCUGCUGUGAAAACCCGAGGCUCAACCUCGGGCUUGCAGUGGGUACGGGCAGACUAGAGUGCGGUAGGGGAGAUUGGAAUUCCUGGUGUAGCGGUGGAAUGCGCAGAUAUCAGGAGGAACACCGAUGGCGAAGGCAGAUCUCUGGGCCGUAACUGACGCUGAGGAGCGAAAGCAUGGGGAGCAAACAGGCUUAGAUACCCUGGUAGUCCAUGCCGUAAACGUUGGGAACUAGAUGUGGGGACCAUUCCACGGUCUCCGUGUCGUAGCUAACGCAUUAAGUUCCCCGCCUGGGGAGUACGGCCGCAAGGCUANAACUCAAAGGAAUUGACNGGGGCCCGCACAAGCGGCGGAGCAUGCGGAUUAAUUCGAUGCAACGCGAAGAACCUUACCAAGGCUUGACAUAUACGAGAACGCACUGGAGACAGUGAACUCUUUGGACACUCGUAUACAGGUGGUGCAUGGUUGUCGUCAGCUCGUGUCGUGAGAUGUUGGGUUAAGUCNCGCANCGAGCGCAACCCUCGUCCUAUGUUGCCAGCACGUAAUGGUGGGAACUCAUGGGAUACUGCCGGGGUCAACUCGGAGGAAGGUGGGGAUGAGGUCAAAUCAUCAUGCCCCUUAUGUCUUGGGCUUCACGCAUGCUACAAUGGCCGGUACAAUGGGCUGCGAUACCGCAAGGUGGAGCGAAUCCCAAAAAGCCGGUCUCAGUUCGGAUUGAGGUCUGCAACUCGACCUCAUGAAGUCGGAGUC
rnacentral:rRNA from 1 species